GGGAUUGAAUGUCCAAAAAAAAGCUCCCCAUCAACAUAUACACCUAAUAGAUACAUACAUGCAGCAAUUUGUAGAAAAGAAUAUUAUAUUUCUAUAGGCCAUAGUCUUCUUUAAAAUGUCAUUUCCACAUCAUCUAUAUAAUAUAAAUUGGGACCAUUUGAUCCGCAAAGAAAGGUUGCUUAUUAGAGAUUUUUGGUCUUGACAUUUCAUAUAGGUCAUUCAAAAAAAAAAUUAAUCCUAGACAUCUCUUUCUUGGACCGACCAACAACCACAGCCUUGGCUAUUGCCAUCCUUGUGUGUGCAGCGCACAAUGCGUGCUGGCCACCCUCCACCUACCCCGCCUACUUUCCUUCAUGUGGGAUGCAAGCCCCGACCUGGACCUUAGCAAUAAGACAAGGGGAGUGGUACCCUCUCUUCUUCGCCCAUCCCUCCCCUUCCUCCUCCCCCCACGACGUCCUCUUUCGACCUCAAUCUCAUCCUAGAAUCUUCUUUCCUAGUUCCAUCAAUCCAAGUCUUCUUCUCAGACACCCGAUAUCUCUAACCAUGAGGAGAGUUGUGGCAUCGAUCUAGGAGAA
rnacentral:lncRNA from 1 species